GGGCCCGUGGCCUAGUUCGGAUAAGGCGCCGGCCUUCUAAGCCGGAGAUCCGGGGUUCAAAUCCCCGCGGGCCCGCCA
rnacentral:tRNA from 1 species